UAAAACUCACCUCAAGAGAAGAAAUCUCUUCCAAAGCUCUAAAAGAGAGCUAGAACCCUUCCAAUCCAAGCUCAAGGAAGGUUCUAAUCCAAUCAAUCUAGCCUCAAAAGCCCUAGAUCAAAAAGCCCCAAAAUCAACCCUAAAACCUCAUUCUAGGGUUCCAAUACAAUAAAACCUCAAAUCCAAGGUCUAGAUGGAGAGAAAGGGCUACCAACCUCUAAGAAGCUCCAAUCCAAGCUCAAAGGGUGAAGAUCUUCUCCUUUGCAAGCUCCAAGUCCAAGCCUUCAAGCACCAACAAGGUGGGAAGAGGAAGAAAGGCAAAGGGAUGCUCCAAGCCCAAGCUAGAUCCUUCUCCUCUUCUUCUCCUUCCUCUUCUUCUCCUUCUUCUCUCUCUAGCAAGGAUGUGGGGAGAGUGUGAGGAGGGAAAAUGAGGAGAAGAGAGGGUGGAUGGGUCAUAUAGACCAUCUAUUGUAACAAAAUCCAGCUAGGUCCUCCAAAAAUCCAAUAUUACCACAGCCCGGUCUGGGCAGUUUUCGCCCAGA
rnacentral:lncRNA from 1 species